rnacentral:tRNA from 1 species
GUGGCUAUAGCUCAGUGGUAGAGCACGUGCUUAGCAUGCACAACAUCCUGGGUUCAAUCCCCAGGACCUCCA